rnacentral:rRNA from 1 species
GAUGAACGCUGGCGGCGUGCCUAAUACAUGCAAGUCGAGCGAACGGACGAGAAGCUUGCUUCUCUGAUGUUAGCGGCGGACGGGUGAGUAACACGUGGAUAACCUACCUAUAAGACUGGGAUAACUUCGGGAAACCGGAGCUAAUACCGGAUAAUAUUUUGAACCGCAUGGUUCAAAAGUGAAAGACGGUCUUGCUGUCACUUAUAGAUGGAUCCGCGCUGCAUUAGCUAGUUGGUAAGGUAACGGCUUACCAAGGCAACGAUGCAUAGCCGACCUGAGAGGGUGAUCGGCCACACUGGAACUGAGACACGGUCCAGACUCCCACGGGAGGCAGCAGUAGGGAAUCUUCCGCAAUGGGCGAAAGCCUGACCGAGCAACGCCGCGUGAGUGAUGAAGGUCUUCGGAUCGUAAAACUCUGUUAUUAGGGAAGAACAUAUGUGUAAAGUAACUGUGCACAUCUUGACGGUACCUAAUCACAAAGCCACGGCUAACUACGUGCCAGCCGCCGCGGUAAUACGUAAGUGGCAAGCGUUAUCCCGAAUAUUGGGCGUCAAGCCGCGCGUAGGCGGUUUUUUAGUCUGAUGUGAAAGCCCACGGCUCAUUCGUGGAGGGUCAUUGGAAACUGGAAAACUUGAGUGCAGAAGAGGAAAGUGGAAUUCCAUGUGUAGCGGUGAAAUGCGCAGAGAUAUGGAGGAACACCAGUGGCGAAGGCGACUUUCUGGUCUGUAACUGACGCUGAUGUGCGAAAGCGUGGGGAUCAAACAGGAUUAGAUACCCUGGUAGUCCACGCCGUAAACGAUGAGUGCUAAGUGUUAGGGGGUUUCCGCCCCUUAGUGCUGCAGCUAACGCAUUAAGCACUCCGCCUGGGGAGUACGACCGCAAGGCUGAAACUCAAAGGAAUUGACGGGGACCCGCACAAGCGGUGGAGCAUGUGGUUUAAUUCGAAGCAACGCGAAGAACCUUACCAAAUCUUGACAUCCUUUGACAACUCUAGAGAUAGAGCUUUCCCCUUCGGGGGACAAAGUGACAGGUGGUGCAUGGUUGUCGUCAGCUCGUGUCGUGAGAUGUUGGGUUAAGUCCCGCAACGAGCGCAACCCUUAAGCUUAGUUGCCAUCAUUAAGUUGGGCACUCUAAGUUGACUGCCGGUGACAAACCGGAGGAAGGUGGGGAUGACGUCAAAUCAUCAUGCCCCUUAUGAUUUGGGCUACACACGUGCUACAAUGGACAAUACAAAGGGCAGCGAAACCGCGAGGUCAAGCAAAUCCCAUAAAGUUGUUCUCAGUUCGGAUUGUAGUCUGCAACUCGACUACAUGAAGCUGGAAUCGCUAGUAAUCGUAGAUCAGCAUGCUACGGUGAAUACGUUCCCGGGUCU